CAUUCAGUAGCCCAGCUACUUGUUUACACCCUUGUCUUUUUGCGUACUUAUCGUUUCCUCGGCGGGCUUGCCUGCCGGUUGGGCAACUUUAUAACCUUUUUAAAUCUUCAAUCAGCGUCUGAAUAAUAUACAAUAAUUA
rnacentral:misc_RNA from 1 species